rnacentral:lncRNA from 1 species
ACAUACAACACUCAUACAACACACAUUCAUACAACACAACACUCAUACAACAUACAAAACAUACAACUCACAAAUACAUGUACAACACACUCAUACAACACAUAACACUCAAACAUACAAUGAAUGCAACUCAACACAACAUGCACAUACAACACACAUACAACCCAUGCCACUCACAUACAACACAACACGCUCAUACAACACAUUCAUACAACACAUACUGUACAGAUUCUAAGUAUGAAAUAGAAAACAGCACAUGCACAGUUUCUAAAGUAUGACAAAAGCUUUUUUCAAGAAGGUCAUCCAACAUCCAAACUGGUAACAUGUCCUCAUUUUCAGCUGCUGUUCAGAUUCAAGCAUGUUUAUCAUCUGCUCCAUGAAUUACAAUAAUAUAGCAUAAACCCUUUUUUCAUUUUACACCCACUUUGGUGUGGGGUGCUCCAAAACAGGGGCCAGGAGCCUCAGUCAUCCCUCGGAACAAAACACAACUCACACUCAGAGGCCAGGAAGGGAACUCGGGGGGCGACACACACUCUCUCAUCUGCAGAGCUCUGCUUCAAUUACUUUACAUGUAACCGCGGCUGGAACGGGGUUGGUGACGGUACAGACACGGCAAACUGAGGAGAAAUUGGCAGGUGGAGAAAGAUCAGCCAGAAUCCAAGGAAAAAUGCUGAGCAUUUUCCACAAAUAGUUCACACAACGGACAAUAGUUGGGCUACUGAAAGUUUAUUGAGAGGGGUCUUGCUCCAAAGAAAAAGUUCUUUCCCAAGGUUAUCAAAGACUCACAGCAGACCCCGGCCCCCAACACACCAUCUGCAGAGGGCCUGUUAGUCAAAAAGAAGACAAGACAGAAGCAAGGGGGUGCGGGGGGAGGAGAGCAAGAGGGGACCGAGAACUCGGAACCAAGUGAUGGGCAGACACUGAAUGCCUGACUCCAGGGUUAUCGCCUCAGAAAACAAGUCCGUUUAAGCCCGUGGUAACAGUGUUAGCGCUUUCACUGAACCUGCACUCAACACUGGAGAACCUCCCUGCAUUAUGAAGAUGAGCCGAAAAAUAACAUUAAUUCACAAUGUAGAGUGAUGAUUCAGCCACAGAAAAUAAAACUGAUAUAAUCCACUACAA